UAUGUAUUCCCUCCGUUCGGAAUUACUCGUCCAAGAAAUGAAUGUAUCUAGAUGUAUUUUAGUUGUAGAUACAUCCAUUUUUAUCCAUUUUUGUGACAAGUAAUUCCGAACGGAGGGAGUAAGAU
rnacentral:pre_miRNA from 1 species